GUGAAUCAUCGAAUCUUUGAACGCAAAUUGCACUCUCUGGUAUUCCGGGGAGUAUGCCUGUUUGAGGAUCGGUUUAAAUACAAAUCGGUGUGGUUGCUGCCUUUCGUGGUGACGCACCGGAUUUGGGUCGUCGUGCCUUCGGUUAAUAGACCUCAUAUUUUGCAUGCUUUUUUUCAAACGUUCUUAAAUGAUUUUACGUACGUUUGCGAUAUAGAAUACUGGGUGUGGUCAUCUUC
rnacentral:misc_RNA from 1 species